UACGUAGGGGGCAAGCGUUGUCCGGAAUUAUUGGGCGUAAAGAGCUCGUAGGCGGUCUGUCGCGUCGGUCGUGAAAACUUGGGGCUUAACCCUGAGCUUGCGGUCGAUACGGGCAUGACUGGAGUUCGGCAGGGGAGACUGGAAUUCCUGGUGUAGCGGUGAAAUGCGCAGAUAUCAGGAGGAACACCGGUGGCGAAGGCGGGUCUCUGGGCCGAUACUGACGCUGAGGAGCGAAAGCGUGGGGAGCGAACAGG
rnacentral:rRNA from 1 species